rnacentral:rRNA from 1 species
AGCUCCAAUAGCAUAUAUUAAAGUUGUUGCAGUUAAAAAGCUCGUAGUUGGAUUUCUGGCAUGAUGCGCCUGGCCCGCCUCGAUUACGAGUGUGUGUGCGAGUGCGCGUCUGCCAUCCAUUUACAGAAUGUAUCUACCCUUCAUUGGGCCGGAUAUGUGAUGUAAAUCUUUUACUUUGAAAAAAUUAGAGUGUUUAAAGCAGGCAUUUGCUAUGAAUACAUUAGCAUGGAAUAAUAAUCUAGGACUUCGGUUCUAUUUUGUUGGUUUCUAGAUCUGAAGUAAUGAUUGAUAGGGAUAGUUGGGGGUGCUAGUAUUAAGGGGCCAGAGGUGAAAUUCUUGGAUUCUCUUAAGACUAACUUAUGCGAAAGCAUUCACCAAGGAUGUCUUCUUUAAUCAAGAA